rnacentral:lncRNA from 1 species
UUCAGUUAAGCCAAUAAGCAUAAUCCAAUAUAUAAUAUUACUUCAUCAAAACAUAAUAAAUACUCCAAUUAAAAAAUAUACACCAUCUAACCAAAUAACUAUGAAAAGUGUUCAAAAGUUAUGUAAACGAUUUAUAACCGAAGCUUCAAACGAGUCCCAACCCAAUCUUUUUACGUAGACGAGAUCCAAGAAGACACAAGCACAAAAGAGGUUGAACUCACUUCAGCUCCAUGUAACUGCAAAAAAGAAAGAAUAUAACAACAAAUUAAUCAAAACAGGCAAGCAAUUAAGAAACAAUACAAUGUCAUUUAAAGCUUUUUGAGACACAACUAUACUCAUUCAACUUUUUACAUAGCCUAUCUAUACUUGUGUAUGCAUACAUAUAUAGCCACACUUGAAACAUGUUUAAUGAAAAAUACAUAAAUGAAAAAAAUGCAGAAAUUUAUAAAGUACCUUCAUCAAAUAAGUCUAACACAGCUCUUUGGCCAAGCAAUAGUACUUCCUAUGACGUCACUAAGAACUCGAAAUUCAUCUGUUGGUCUAUAUAAGGGCAAAUGACUCAUGUACACCUCGUCAACCCAAACCUUCCAACAAUCUCGUCCUAGUGGCACGUGAUGCACCUUUGCACUUAGGUCUAUUGAUGCAAUCUUCCCUUCGCCUACAAUUUCCUCCUCAAACAUGUACCAGUGCAAUAGUUGACACUUUCCAUUUUCCCUUCGCCUCCAAUUUCCUCUCUUUUUCAUGAAGUUGGGGAAAGAAGAUUCAUAAUGUUCCUCAGGUAUAAGGUUUCCACAUUUGUCACCCCAUCAGUACCUUUAUUUAAAAUAACAACAAAUGUUGGUUUCAUCUAGAAAGUAUCUCAAUUUCUUUCCAAUGUACAAUAAUAGAUCAAAUACUGUCUAACCAAGAAUGUAUAAAAUAAAUUACUACUUGACAAAAAAUAUCACACACACUUCAGACUCAAUUGCAGUUUUCUUGCAUACAAGAUCAUAAUAGUUUUUGCUACUGCUACAGCAGCAGAGUUUGCCCUACAAAUCCAUUGAUAAGAUUAAAAAUCUAUAAGUGAAAAGGAUGUUUAACCAUAGAGAAGAAAAAAAUCUAUGUUGGAUUUUAAAAAUGCAAGAAUUUAACUCUAGAUAUACAGAAGAUAAAAUGAGGGGGAGUAAAGAAGACAAUGGAAAAUAGCACAAUCAACACUUGAAAUGAUGUUUAGAAUAAUUAAUACAAUAUAAUUUUAGGAACAUGAGAAGUAGUCAGUUUGCACAAUGAGGAGGUCGUAGAUCCAUUAUAGAGAGGUACCGUUUAGUCGUUGAUGAUAGCAGAUUUACUAAAUUUCGAAGUGACUUGAGAAGAGCCUGCUACAGAAGAUGAAAAUUUGAAGUUAUCUUAGUCUCUACUGCAUAUCAACAAAUAUACAAGAAUUUGUAAAGAAACUAAACCCGAUUGGAAAAGGAUUAAAAAUCAAAAAUAAAAAAUCCUCUUAUUGUUCAAACUACUACACAAUCAAUCAAUCCAAAAUUUCAAUUCCGUAUCAAAUUAGAACACUGCAAAAGAACCACAAAUAACUUCAAUAUAAGAACCCAUAAAAAAGUCACAUAAGUAUUAUACAAGAGCCAUAUGUAAUAGUUACAAAAGCAUAAACAUCUUCAAUAUAAUAACUUUAAAGAAUCGGGCUUCACAGAAAUUGACAUCUACUGGUUUCACUAAAAUAGUUACAAAAGCAUAAACAUCCAUUGAUUUAAAAGUCACAUAAGUAUUAUACAAGAGCCAUAUGUAAAUGCUAGCAAGCUAAUGUAAACCGAUUAUGCAUCAAAAACAGAAAACAAUCAAGCCUACCUUGAAAUAAUGGAGAAGAAGACUCCCAGAAAUUAAGCCUCUCUCAAACAAUUGAGGGCUGGUGUCUACGCUUCAUAUUGAGAGAACGAGGAAAAGAGAUUGACAGGGAAUACGGGAACGAGAUGGUGGCG